rnacentral:misc_RNA from 1 species
UACGAAGGGCCCGAGCGUUAUCCGGAAUUAUUGGGCGUAAAGGGUGCGUAGGUGGUUUUGCGCGUCUGUUGUUAAAUCUCAGCGCUCAACGGGGAAACCGCAAUGGAUACGGCAAGACUAGAGGACGCGAGAGGGCUGUGGAACUCACGGUGUAGGGGUGAAAUCCGUUGAUAUCGGGAGGAACACCAAAGGCGAAGGCAGCAGACUGGCGCGUUUCUGACACUGAGGCACGAAAGCGUGGGGAGCAAAAAGG